GCCUAUAACAUAGGGUUAAUGCACCAAAUCCCAUUAGAAAUCUAUAGUUAAGUGCUCUUAGGAUAUAGUAAUACUGGGAUGGGUGACCGCCCGGGAAGUCCUAGGUUUUUACAGGCC
rnacentral:rRNA from 1 species